rnacentral:rRNA from 1 species
UACAGAGGUGGCGAGCGUUGUUCGGAAUUACUGGGCGUAAAGGGCGCGUAGGCGGUUCGUUAAGUCCUGUGUGAAAUCCCCCGGCUCAACUGGGGAACUGCACAGGAAACUAGCGGGCUUGAGUUCGGGAGAGGGAAGCGGAAUUCCGGGUGUAGCGGUGAAAUGCGUAGAUAUGACAUAGAACACCAAUUGCGAAGGCAGCUCACUACACAAUCAUUGACGCUGAGGCACGAAAGCGUGGGGAUCAAACAGG